rnacentral:siRNA from 1 species
ACAUAGAGUAUGUUACCUUUGAC